rnacentral:tRNA from 1 species
GUAGGCAUAGUUUAACAAAAAUAUUAGAUUGUGAUUCUAAAGACAGAGGUUAAACCCCUCUUGCCCACC